AAAAAUAGUUUUUGUGUUAUUUAGAGGGAAAUGCAUGCAUUUUAGCUUUUCAAAUGUUGUUAAAAGUUCCAAAUACAUUUUUAAAGUAGCUAAAUUUGUUGCUAGGUGCUGUUUGAAAAAAAAAGUUGCCAGGGUAGUCUGAAAAGUUGAUAAAUCUAGCAACAAAAUUGCUAAAUUGGCAUCACUGCUCUGAUGCCAACAGUUGAUCCGGGUCAGUCCAGGUCUGGCCAUGCAGGGAGACCCAGGGAAGGUGGAACUACACAGUCUGGAGAUAAUUCUGGGGGAAACGGGAGCAGCGGGACAUGAGAUAAUUUCCUGGGCCGCUGGCUAGGGAAGACCUGCACAAAGGAGAUGCCAUGUGUUUUGUCCACCAGAGGGCAGAAGCCUGCAUGAUAAGGGCUCUGCCGGCCUCCUUUGGAAUCUACUUGUACUGCUGUUCAGCCAAAAUGGAGUAGGUGAACAUCUCUUCACGCUCUUAUAUUAGGUGAAACCCCUUUCUCUUAUUGCUCUUGA
rnacentral:lncRNA from 1 species